rnacentral:lncRNA from 1 species
CCUUUGAGCAAUUCACUAUGCUGUUGAAUAUAUUUUUCACAUCCCCCUUUCCCUUAUUCCAAAACUGAUCUCAAUUCAAAUUUCUAAUGGAGUUUGCAACAAUAACUACUCAUUUAAAUACAUCAUAAAAUAUUAAAAUGUAAAAAAAGUGCUUGUUAUCACUGAAUGGUAAAGAUUGUUUUAAUUUAUCAGUUGGUAGUAAAAGUGAAUAUACAUUGUAUAUUGUAUAAAAC